rnacentral:rRNA from 1 species
GAUGAACGCUAGCGGCAGGCUUAAUACAUGCAAGUCGAGGGGUAGCAAGAUUGUAGCAAUACAAUUGUUGACGACCGGCAAACGGGUGCGGAACACGUACACAACCUUCCUACAAGUGGGGAAUAGCCCAGAGAAAUUUGGAUUAAUACCCCGUAACAUAGCGAUGUGGCAUCACAUUGCUAUUAUAGCUUCGGCGCUUGUUGAUGGGUGUGCGGCUGAUUAGAUAGUUGGCGGGGUAACGGCCCACCAAGUCUACGAUCAGUAGCUGAUGUGAGAGCAUGAUCAGCCACAAGGGCACUGAGACACGGUCCCGACUCCUACGGGAGGCAGCAGUAAGGAAUAUUGGACAAUGGACGCAAGUCUGAUCCAGCCAUGCCGCGUGAAGGAUUAAGGUCCUCUGGAUUGUAAACUUCUUUUAUAAGGGACGAAAAAAGGUCUUUCUAGAUCGUCUGACGGUACCUUAUGAAUAAGCACCGGCUAACUCCGUGCCAGCCGCCACCGUAAGAC